rnacentral:rRNA from 1 species
UAUCUAAGGUUUCCAGAGUAAAGCUGAUCUGCUCUGGGUAAGUCGGGGCCUAAGGAGAGGUCGAAAGACGUAUCCGAUGGACAACAGGUUUAGAUUCCUGUACCACAUAUAAACAGAACUGUGGGGACGCAUGUGGAAAGCAUAAGCCGGGAAUGGAAAUACCGGUACAAACGGAAGAGGUGUCAGGCUGGCAAAUCCGCCUGGCAAGCCAAAGACGUGAUGUGGAGCGAAAUAAAAGUAGCGAAGUAUGUGAGCCAUGUGCCGAGAAAAGCCGCUAUUGUUUUAUAUGUGCCCGUACCGUAAACCGACACAGGUGGAUGAGGAGAGAAUCCUAAGGCCGACGGAAGAAGCAUUGUUAAGGAACUCGGCAAAAUGACCCCGUAACUUCGGGAGAAGGGGUGCCCACUUCAGGGUGGGCCGCAGAGAAUAGGCUCAAGCAACUGUUUAGCAAAAACACAGGUCUAUGCGAAACCGAAAGGUGAGGUAUAUGGGCUGACGCCUGCCCGGUGCUGGAAGGUUAAGAGGAGAGGUUAGCGCAAGCGAAGCUUUGAAUUUAAGCCCCAGUAAACGGCGGCCGUAACUAUAACGGUCCUAAGGUAGCGAAAUUCCUUGUCGGGUAAGUUCCGACCCGCACGAAAGGCGUAAUGAUUUGGGCACUGUCUCAACGAUACACCCGGUGAAAUUGAAAUACCAGUGAAGAUGCUGGUUACCUGCGCCAGGACGGAAAGACCCCAUGGAGCUUUACUCCAGUUUGGUACUGGGACUCGGUAUUGCAUGUACAGGAUAGGUGGGAGGCUGAGAGACAGUAACGCCAGUUAUUGUGGAGCCGCUGUUGGGAUACCACCCUUGCAGUAUUGGGUUUCUAACCAGCCGCCGUGACCCGGCGGUGGGACAAUGCCAGACGGGGAGUUUGACUGGGGCGGUCGCCUCCGAAAGGGUAUCGGAGGCGCCCAAAGGUUCCCUCAGAAUGGACGGAAACCAUUCGAAGAGUGCAAAGGCAGAAGGGAGCUUGACUGCGACACCGACGGGUGGAGCAGGUACGAAAGUAGGGCUUAGUGAUCCGGUGGUAUUAAGUGGGAAUGCCAUCGCUCAACGGAUAAAAGCUACCCUGGGGAUAACAGGCUUAUCACUCCCAAGAGUUCACAUCGACGGAGUGGUUUGGCACCUCGAUGUCGGCUCAUCGCAUCCUGGGGCUGUAGUAGGUCCCAAG